CCAUGAGAUGAAGUGUGAAAGUUGUGUCACAGGUAGCCUACCAACCCAACACGAGGGAGGGUGUGUGAAAUCAUCAUCAUCAUCAUCAUCAUCAUCAGAAAGGGUUUUGGAAAUGAAGGUGGUGGUACAGCGAGUUGCCUCCGCCAGCGUGGAGGUAGAAGGGCGUACGGUGUCGGCAAUUGGCCCCGGAUUGCUUGUUCUCGUUGGAAUUCACGACCUCGAUUCUCAUUCCGAUGCUGAUUAUAUAUGUCGUAAGGUGCUCAAUAUGAGAUUGUUCCCUAACGAUAAAUCUGGCAAAACAUGGGAUCAAAAUGUAAUGCAAAAGAAUUAUGAGGUUCUAUUAGUUAGUCAAUUUACAUUGUACGGGAUACUAAAGGGUAACAAGCCAGAUUUUCAUGUUGCAAUGCCACCUGAUAAAGCAAAAUCCUUGUAUGCUUCCUUGGUGCAAACAUUCCAAACUACUUACAGAUCAGAUGCAGUAAGAGCAUAUAGGUACCUUGUCGCUAUUCGCCAUUAACAACUAUGUUUGGAUGUUGGACUUGAUAGGCUUCAUGUACAGAUGGAGUAUUUGGGGCAAUGAUGAAGCAAUACAAAGGAUGGCGUAGAGGCAGAAAGCACUAUGAAUGGAAAGUAAUCCGGGAUAUUGAUUAAGCUCUGGCUUCUUAUAUAUGUAAAACUUUAGGGCCCCAUAUUUGUUUGGAUUAUAUAUCCAUAAAAUAUCUGAUUUUUAUUCUUGUGAUUUUUUUAAUACAAGUUGGUAUUUUGAAUUGGGUUUUUACCUAUA